GCACACCCACCACAACCCCUCAACGGUAGCGCCGGAACAAACUCAUUUCCGGCCACCAAAGCCCAACUGUACGGUGCCACCCGCCCCGCCUACCGCCCACAGCCCCAACGCCGCAGCCGGAGCAGGUGCUGCUCCUGCUGCCUCUGGUUCACCUUCGUCAUCCUCUCCAUACUCGUCCUCGCCGCCAUCGCCAGUGCAAUCUUCUACGUCCUCUACCGCCCCCACCGCCCCAGCUUCGCCGUCACCUCUCUCCGAAUCUCCCAAUUCAACGUCACCGCCACCAAGCUCACCUCCAAGCUUGACCUCUCCAUCACUGCCCGCAACCCCAACAAGAAACUCGUUUUCAUCUACGACCCCACCACUGUAUCGGCCGCCACCUCAUCUUCCGACGUCAGCGUCGGUACCGGCACCAUCCCUGCCUUCGUGCAUGGCACCAAGAAUACGACGUCGUUUAAAGUCCUCAUAUCAUCCACUUCAGAAACCCUCGAC
rnacentral:lncRNA from 1 species